rnacentral:lncRNA from 1 species
CUGAAUGUGGCUGGCACAUGAACUCGAUGUGCUGACAGCAAUUUGUACUCCGAUUAAAAUAGGGGGGAAAAAAGGAAAGAGAGUGCACAGCAGUAACAAAAAUGAAAUGCAAGAACCCCUAAACCAUGCAAUUUGUAUUUUAGGAAGCAAAACUGAGAAAGAGGCUCCAUAACUUAAAAAACAAAAAACAAAAAGCUGUAAAUGCUCCAGCCUAAAGACAUUAGCUCUGAUGCAAUUACCUCUGAAAUCUUUCUGAAGAUACUACUGAGAAUAAAAUGGAGCAUUUCUUAUGAACAGCUAAUCUCUGAAAAUAUCACUAAUAUGGAGCAGGUGACGUCUUACCCAUUCCACAUAAACAAUCUUCUAAUACUCACAUGAAAAGACAGAUGGAUUUUCAAGAUGUACUAUUAAGUGAAUGGCUAUGAAUUGACAAAAAGCAGCUAAAGACAAAAACAGUUUCAUAAUUACCAUUUGUCCAAAGUCAAUCUCUGAGCUAAAACACAAUGUUUUUUAUGUUUCUCUACUUAUAACAAAAUUUCGGGAAAAAACUCAGAAAAAAAAUUGGUACACCAAUACUACCACUGUUUUAUGAUCUCUGUGAGAAUUUAACAGUUUAAAAAAGCACAUGGCUGGACACAGUGGCUCAUGCCUGUAAUCCUAACACUCUGGGAGGCCAAGGCAAGAAGACAGCUUGAGCCCAGGAUUUUAAGACCAGCUUGAGCAACAUAGUGAGACUGUGGCUCUACAAAAAAACUUAAAAAUUAGCUGGUCAUGGUGAUGCAUACCUGUAAUCCCAGCUACUGUGGAGGCUGAGGUGGGAGGACUGUUUGUACUUAGGAGGUCAAGGCUGCAGCAUGCUGUGAUUUCACCACUGCAUUUCAACCUGAGCAACAAGUAGGACCCUGUCUCAAAAAAAUAUAUGAAAUACAAAUAACCAAAAUGUCAGUAAUUAAUGAAUCUGGGGAAUGGGUACAUGGAGGUUCAUUAAAGAAUCUGGAGAGGAGGUAUAUGGAACUUCAUUAGACAAUUCUCUACGAUUCUGUGUAUGUAUGCAACUUUCAUAAUAAAAAGUCUAAAAAGGUCUACUUACAGGUAUACUUUUUAAAUCCUAUCUUCAGUUAAGGCUGACCAUUCUAAACAAAAUUCUGGCAGAUACUUUUCAAAGAAUGUUUUCUUCAUUCUCGACUGAUCAAUUAAACACCAUAGUGAAAUGG